rnacentral:rRNA from 1 species
GAUGAACGCUGGCGGCGUGCCUAACACAUGCAAGUCGAGCGAUUACUUCGGUAAAGAGCGGCGGACGGGUGAGUAACGCGUGGGUAACCUGCCCUGUACACACGGAUAACAUACCGAAAGGUAUGCUAAUACGAGAUAAUAUGCUUUUGUCGCAAUGGUAGAAGUAUCAAAGCUUUUGCGGUACAGGAUGGACCCGCGUCUGAUUAGCUAGUUGGUAAGGUAACGGCUUACCAAGGCGACGAUCAGUAGCCGACCUGAGAGGGUGAUCGGCCACAUUGGAACUGAGACACGGUCCAAACUCCUACGGGAGGCAGCAGUGGGGAAUAUUGCACAAUGGGCGAAAGCCUGAUGCAGCAACGCCGCGUGAGCGAUGAAGGCCUUCGGGUCGUAAAGCUCUGUCCUCAAGGAAGAUAAUGACGGUACUUGAGGAGGAAGCCCCGGCUAACUACGUG